AGCCAUCCAUCUCCAUCGAGGGUUGCUAACAGGUCCGGUACAUUACAGCAAUGUUUUUUCACACGUGUACAAUUCAAGCUACGGAGACGGCUUUCAAACAGUAGCAUUACUGAUGGCAAUCCAAUCAGCAAAAUUUGUAGCCUCUGUUGUUUCGUGGGAACAAAGAAUUACCCUAUUUUUCUAUGAGGCACAGUAUAAUUACUUGACAGUCAAAAAAAAAGAAGAAAAUCACUAAUUACAUAUAUGCUACUGGUUCAGAGGUUGGUGAAUUUGUGAAAUUCUUUUAUAUAGUAAUGAAGUUAAAUUCAUUUUUCUC